GCCGGGGUGCUGGAAUGGUAGACAGUGCAGUCUCAAAAACUGCUGGCCCUCAAGGCCGUGAGGGUUCGACUCCCUCUCCCGGCA
rfam:Microgenomates (Daviesbacteria) bacterium GW2011_GWA2_42_7 TV41_C0024, whole genome shotgun sequence.